GCACUACAUCUUAGAAACACAAAUACUUAAUCCAACAACGAAUAUGUAUUCUCUGCACAAAUGACUUCCUAUUGUUCUGUUCUAUAAAACUCAAGAAAAAUUAUUAUGGCUAGCUCAUGAGAAUCAGCUUAUGCUGCACAUCCACUGGAGUUCCCUAGGACACCGGAAUUGAAAUCAGUGGGAAUUUUGGAGGUGUAAAGAACUACUCAGAAGAAGCAAGGAUUUUCCAGAAAAUGUUUAUUCAGAUGAUGCCUUUGCCUUCAUUGGACUGGGAUCUGUCAGCACCGGCACACUCCCUAGAAAUUGACCUGGUCACAUAAACGAGACAGCAGGUUCUCUUUUUCAUUACAUUUGAUGUUUUGACCUCUGCUGCUGGGGCAGAUCAUAUGUUAAAAACA
rnacentral:lncRNA from 1 species